GAUUCCAAGCCAUUCCAAUUUUCAUUUUCAUUUUAAUUUCGAUUGGGAACCAAACAUCCUCUGUGAUUCUUUUUCUUUUUUUAACCAUUUAUUGGGUACAUUCGAAACUUGAUUCUUGUGAAUCCUCAUCUGUGUAAUGAUUUAUUGUUAUGAAUCAUGAAAAAGUUUUGAUGAUAUCAGUCAAUGUAUCAAUUUUCCAUGCGAAUAAUUACCUCCAGAUGCUGGUACUCCUUUGUAGGAA
rnacentral:lncRNA from 1 species